ensembl:rRNA 5S_rRNA 5S ribosomal RNA
GUCUACGGCCAUACCACCCUGAACGCACCCGAUUUCGUCUGAUCUCGGAAGCUAAGCAGGGUCAGGCCUGGUUAGUACUUGGAUAGAAGGAAUGACUGGAGAGAGA